UGAGCCUGCCUUUCCACUGGAUGGCACGCAGUGAGAGUAUUCACUGUAUUUUCAUAACACUUUGUAAAGACACCCACAAAAAAAGGCUUCCAGAAUUACUUCAGAAAAAUGACAAGAAUGAUGAGCUCAGUGUGUUUGAAGAACUGUGAGUGCAACAGGAGGUGGUAUCUGUGGAAAGAGAAGAGCUUUCUUAUGGUAUGGUUUGGAACAAGGGCA
rnacentral:lncRNA from 1 species